rnacentral:rRNA from 1 species
AUGUGAACCAGCAUCUUCCAGCCAUCCUCGUGGAGAGCUGUCACCUACGGGAGGCAAGCAAUCCACGUCAUUUACUGUGAACAAAUUAGAGUGUUCAAAGCAGGCUUACGCCACUGAAUACAUUAGCAUGGAAUAAUCCUAUAGGACUUUGGUGAUUCUACUGUUGGUUACGCACCAGAGUAAUGAUUAAUAGGGAUAGUUGGGGGUAUUCGUAUUCAAUUGUCAGAGGUGAAAUUCUUGGAUUUAUGGAAGACGAACAACUGCGAAAGCAUUUACCAAGGAUGUUUUCAUUGAUCAAGAACGAAAGUUAGGGGAUCGAAGAUGAUCAGAUACCAUCGUAGUCUUAACCAUAAACGAUGCCGACUCGGGAUCGGUGGGUGUUCUCUUAAUGACUCCAUCGGCACCGUAUGAGAAAUCAAAGUCUUUGGGUUCCGGGGGGAGUAUGGUCGCAAGGCUGAAACUUAAGGGAAUUGACGGAAGAGCACCACCAGGGGUGGAGCCUGCGGCUUAAUUUG